GGGGACGACAGGAAUCGAUGGGAUAGUACGUUUACAGAUGCAAGCCUCCUUUGGUAAUAGGGGUUAAACAGACCAAAAUACAACUGUCAAUAAAGAAGACAAGUUACUUGGUUUCGUGGCUAGUGGAGUCAAAUCCUUGGCUAACGAUAUCAAAUCUUUCGCUCCUGUUUACGCUUUUGCCUAAACCGUAGCUUAAAGACGUCUUGAGAGCCGGCGGAUCCCGGGCUACUUUUAGGGCGAUAAAAUACCGGAUUGAAUGCUUCAAGUUUGAUUUAGGCUUGAGGACUAACUUAUUCUAAAUCGACCAUAAAGUGUUCUUGUUUGCCUGAAGCUUUAUGGAAAAUCGGCAAUCUAAGCUUGUAGACUCUGUACUCAGAUUACUCCAGACGAGGGUUCGACUCCCUCCGUCUCCACAU
rnacentral:tmRNA from 3 species